AUGCAGAGCAACAUCUACAGGCAACAGAAUGAGCACUUUGAAGUCUUUACCACUGUCCUCUCCCCACAAGUUCACCGGGGACGAUGCCAAUUCAGACAGGCAGAGGCUGACAAGAUGGUGGUAAAGCGCAGCUACAAGCCCCACUGGCCAGAUGAGCUGGCGCUGACCCGGGGGGAGUUCAUCCUGGUUCUGUGUAAAGAUGAUGAGGCCCGGUGGUUUGGGCGGCUGCAAAACGGACAGCAGGGAUACUUCCCGGCCUCGCAUGUUGUGGAGCUGAGCCACCAGGACGAUGAGCCAGCUAAAGACGUCCACCGCUUAGCGAGACGGGGUUCAGCUCCGGCCACGUAUGCAGGUGGUACUGGCGCACUCAGGCUGCAGGCCCUCCGCAGAGCCAGCAGAGCAGCGGCAGGAGGGGGGCCGGAGGGGGCCGAGGGGGAGAGAGAGGGCCCCAUCCUGAUACUGAAGUCCCAGAUCUCUCUCCCUAACAGGCUGCCCCAGCCCCUGCCCCAACCCCAGCCACAGGCACACAGCUCCCCAAGCUUCCUCCACAGGAUCCUAUCCAAGCACCGUCGGAGGAGUGAUUGUCAUGGGUCCAGCAACACGGGCUACAUGGCCGACUAA
rnacentral:lncRNA from 1 species